CCCACAUUGUCCAACACAACUUAGAAAUUGCCCCACAUGUAGUGUGUUUUGGUGAUGGUCAUGCUAAAAGUCAGUGUACUGUCAGAAAAAUGCAUCCUUGCCAGAUUAUGCCUCAACUCAUUCACCAGAAAGAAUUGUUAGGUGGAAUAUUUGGAGGAGAAAUAGCUUUGAUUAGCCAGUCAAGUAGAGAUUUGAAGGAAGGGGAUGCUUAAUCUGGCAGGGGUAUCAUUUUUUGGGGUUAAAAAGCACAAUUUCUAUAUAUGUUGUCUUUAAAAUCAAAAGAUUAAAAACUUUCAACGACUUAAGAUUAUGAUGAGUGUUAAACACAUCAUAACAGUCUUGUGAAAAGGGUCCAUUCAUUUCCAGUGAAGGGGAAAGAGAUGUUUCCCCCAUGCCGGCCACGCCCCCAGUUAUGACACGAUGCUGACCUAAUAUAAAGACGAGUUCUAUUUCAUUUUCCAGCAGAAAAUACCUGAAUGACGAGGUAUCGUGAUGGAUCUCUGGCCAUUUUGGAAAACUCUACCACAAGUUCGCGAAAAGUCGGCAUUAGCACUCACACUUGACCAUGAUCAUGUAGACGUCUAUGGUGCAGAUGUUGGGCUGUGGCAGACGCUCCCCUUUCUCCAGGAUAUCUGCGAUCUCUCGGGCUGGAAUCCCAUUGUACGGUUUGGAGCCGAAUGUCAUCAACUCCCAGACUGUCACUCCUGAUGCAGAGCCGAGCCAGGCCGAAGUCGGUGAUCUUCACGUGGUUGGGAGUUUUGACCAGCACAUUUCUGGCUGCUAAAUCACGAUGCACAAGGUGACGCUCCUCCAAGUAGCUCAUUCCCUGUUGAAGAAGAGGGUUGGGUCACAGGGGCAGCAGUCUCAGGAGAGAAUCCCAGACUUCCUUCUCCUCAGACACUUCUUCUUGCUUCUCCAGGGGGAUCCUGAGGCAUUCCCUGGCCAGCCGAGAAACAUAGUCCCUCCAGCGUGUCCUGGGUCUUCCCCGAGGCCUCCUCCCGGUGGGACAUGCCUGGAACACCUCCCUAGGAGGCGCCGUAGGGUCCGCUUUCGUCUGAUGUGUCGACGACGGAAAAUGACAAAGAUGAAGAGGAGGAUUAUCAUGACAAGCAGCAUCCCUCCGACAACCCCAGCCGCCACCACAGGCAUGUGAGAGCUGGAGAAAGAAAUGUAUUAAAACAGACUCUGGGGCAAACCGGUGCACCGUGAGGAAACCCACGCGGACAUGUGAAGAACGUGCAAACUCCACACAAUUGCCAACUGGCCCGGCCAGGACUCGAACCAGUGACCUUCUUGUUGUGACCUUCU